AACACUUAGCUUGAAGUACAAGCGCAAAGUAAAAGAAUGGGGAGGAAUAGGUGGAAAAAAUUAGAAGAAUCCUGCCUGUCGUUGAUGUGUGCUUUAAAGUUUGCGUUGAUUGAUUAUGUUACCUUACCUAACAGUACAUUUGGGAGGACGAUCCCUAUAUUCUACAGUGUUAAUGAUACACAAUGGCACUCAUUCAUCUCAUCCUUUCAUAAACUUGUUCAAUGAUCUGUUUUUUCCAAGAUCACAACUGAGCUGCAAAAUCACCACAUUGUGGUGCAAUCUUGGGAGACAAAGAGAGGUUUCAGGGAUUCUGCCCACUACUUUGAUGUCAUCAAUCUCAACUGCCCAAAUCACAAGCAAACAUACAGUACCAAUGGCAACACGUGCUUCAAGAGAAACCACUGUGAAGGAGGAUCAAGAUAUGGUCUCUACGAAAUGAUAACAAGAGCUGCUGCCUUUGACACUAAGCUUCCUUUCCCUUCAAAGCAGCAAGUGGAGGGGUUGCGCAUCCGCUGCUGCACCCCUGGGCCCUCGUCCACACAAAGAUUAACCCCCGUCUUCAUAAAACCAGACCAAGGAACUCAUCUGCUGCAGGUAUCUACCAGAGCAAGACCUCACAGUAGGAAAUGGGCUCGAUGAGAUCAGAUUUAGGAAUCCUGGUCUUUCCAGACCCACAGACUCCAGAAGAAUGGGAUAGGACAUGAAGGGCCAUUCAUCAUCACUCAAUCAUGCCUCAUGCCAUUUCACCACACCGUAAAUUCUUGGUGCACAAGGACAUGGAAGUUAGGAACUCCAGGUCCCUGGUCUGGCUCACAUUGUCUUGAGGCAAGAUUUGAAAGAGGCUGAACAGUUUCAUGUGAUAGUCUUAUCAGAGACUGUUUAAUAGAAGAUACUGUAAACUAUGUCAUAAAGAUAGAUGACAAAACACAGUUGUGUUCUAAUUAAUAAAGUAAAGAAACCUCAGCUUCAAUGAGGAACUGACAACGGUAGAAGAUGUCACUCCAGGACGUUGACUCCAACUGAUCGAUUUGACCAGAUGGAGAAGAGGGGUGAUUUCUAACUCAUUUAGCUUUGGUUUUAUUAGCUGCCGUCACUGGUUGCUCUUUGUCAAAUUAAAAGGUCUUGAGUACUUGAGUGGGUUGAAACAAAGGCAAUAAUUGUUCUAUUUUUAUUGGAAGUUGUUAUCACUCCAUUUGCCAGGCCGACUGAUAAUAUGCCACAAGCAGAAGUUACACAAC